rnacentral:rRNA from 1 species
GACGAACGCUGGCGGCGUGCUUAACACAUGCAAGUCGAACGGAAAGGCCUGCUUUCCCUUGUGGAUUGCGGGUGCUCGAGUGGCGAACGGGUGAGUAACACGUGAGUGAUCUGCCCCCAACUUGGGUAUAAGCCUGGGAAACUGGGUCUAAUUCCCGAUAGGACUGCAGGGUGGUGCCUGUGGUGGAAAACGAUUUUCUAGUGGUUGGGGAUAAGCUCGCGGCCUAUCAGCUUGUUGGUGGGGUAAUGGCCUACCAAGGCGGCGACGGGUAGCCGGCCUGAGAGGGUGGACGGCCACAUUGGGACUGAGAUACGGCCCAGACUCCUACGGGAGGCAGCAGUGGGGAAUAUUGCACAAUGGGCGGAAGCCUGAUGCAGCGACGCCGCGUGGGGGAUGACGGCCUUCGGGUUGUAAACUCCUUUCGACCGCGAGGAAGCCACCUGGUUGCAAGGGUGGUGACGGUAGUGGUAGAAGAAGCACCGGCUAACUACGUA